UUCUUAAACAUUCAAUUAAAUUAAAUAAUACAAAUUAUUUUAUAUUUUUUAUAUCAUCCCUGUAGCUUAACUUAAUACAAAUACUCGCUUUGUAAUUUUUAACUUAUCAAAAUAUGAAUUAAAAACUCAUCUUCAAUAUGAGUUAAAGAAAAGAAUCUCUUGUUCAUGGCCAGUAACACUAGUAAAAUGUACUAAAAUUUGAUAGACUUUGUUGGAUUGUCAAUGAUUUUUUAAGAAAGAAAAUCAACACCAUUUCAGAAAAAAAUGUUUUGUUAAAAAAAUUAAUAUUUGUUUGUUAAUUUUAAUAUUUUUUUAUGUAAAUUAACACAUACGCGUCAAUUUUUAAAAUAAGAAACUAAAGUUGAAGAACAUAAAUAAAUUAAUAAAAAUUAUUUAAAAAAAGUAUUUUGUGGUUAACUGGUACAUAAAAUGGAAUAUAAGGGUUAAAAUGGAUAAAAAGCUAAAAUGGAGUGCCAAAAUAAAAAUAAGGACACGUUUGAGAUAUUGUAUGUGUCUGCUCCCCAAGAAGGAUGUUUAUUGCAAAGUUUAGGAUAGUUAAAAAAAUAUUUUUUUUCAUAAUCAUAAAAUGUCCUCUAAGUUUGGAUUAAACUUGAGAGAUGAUAUUAGCCCAAAACUUCAGGAACUUUUGUACUAUACUAGAAGCAUGAGCAAUGGCAAAGGUAUCAAACCUGCCUGUUUUUUGUCAUUAAAGUUUAAGCUAAGGGUAACUUCGAGUUUUCACUUCGCUGUACACAAUACAUGGCUCUCAUCCUGCACUUGAAAAAACAAGUGGGUAUCUUCUCAUCCUUCAUUUUCUAUCUGUGUGUUAUACUCCAUCAUUGUUGUGCUUUUGGGGUCUUGAUGGUUUGAGUUGGAGUUUUGGGUGAUUGUUUAUGAUUUGUGUGAGUUGAGUUUCAAGUUAUUUCGUUUGUUGAUGUGAAUUCUGGCUGGAAAAAUUGUGAUUUUUUUAAUUUUAUUUGUUCUGUUCUGGUUGAAACUUGAAACUACCGAUUCCUUGAUUCUUACUGUGUUUUAAGAAAAAAGUAAUAUCGAUGUUCCCUGAAUAUUGUUGAUUUUCCAUGUACUAUCCAAGACAAACUAACUCAUUGAUUUCUCUUUUAACAUGUAUUUGCAAAUGGGUUGUUUGGAUCUCUGUGUGAUUUAAGAACAUGAAAUAAUGGGAUUAUUUUUCUGAUUCACUAUUAUUGUUCUUCUCUCAAUUGAUUUGGGAAAAAAAGCAUGUUAUAUUUGAAAAUUUGUUAAUCGACUCUACUUUUGCCUUCUACCUGUUUGUGAAAAUUCCGAAGAAACAUCCUCUUUCAUUUCAAUUUCUGUCACUUUAUUUUGCAGUAUGAAUGUAUACAAAUAUUUCGACACUAAAUUAGUCAUUUAUUAUGCUACGUUCUAGACAAAUAGCAUUGACGCAACAUGGAAUUUCGUGUGUUGAACCGAAUUGCAAAACUACUUCACUCGCAUUCUGGAAGAUAACUUAAAGGUGUCAUCUUAUUCAUUGUUUCAGCUCUCCUAAAUGCCCGUCUUUUGAGUUGGUUUCUUUUCGAGUAGCACUAACCUUUGGAUAUACAUAAUGCGUCUUGAUCCUUUUAAUCGGGGUACCUGCAUACUGUUUGAAUAAACAAGACAUUUACAGUACAAUGGAUUUAGUUAUCUAACGGGGAGAGCAUUGUAACUCUCAAGAAAAGGUUUUUCUUUUUCUGUAUGAUUGUGAUUGGUCAAAGAGAAAGGUAUGUACUAUGUACUACUUGCCUCUCGAAAUGCAUUUGAUAUUUGCAUCAAAUCAUAUAUUUUGUUAUAGCUUAAGUAGUAAAUAAAAUGAAAGAUUACAAUAGCUAACUAAGGACCAAAUAUUCUCUUAAAUGUGUUUAAGAUUUAGGGCAGAGAGUUUAAACCGGCAUGAAUUUUUUUGAUGAAGAAAAAGAAGAUGCUAACGCAAGAAUUUGAACCCUUGACAUGAAGGUUAAUUUUCUGUUUAAACCGGCAUGAAUUUAUUGAACAACUUCUCAAGACAAUCUGCAAAAGCAUCAGGCGCCAAUUGUUUUUACCAACAGUAGAGAAAGUUUGUCUCUUCGAAGGUGUCACAAGGGAAAUUCUAUUUACUUCUGUUAAGACGAUUUUCAUCAAAGGAUGUCAAUGGUUGUAGUAAGGGAAAAAAAUUGAAGGCCAAUAGGGCUUAAUUACAUUGACUUCUAUAUACAAUCUAAUUUUUUGCCUGCUCCUAUGCAACUGUGGUCUAAUUGCUGAAUAGGUUGCAGAUAUGAAGGCUGAGUGCAGACCUCCAAAAGAGGAUAUAAUAAUGCAUAAUGAAUCACCAGACAACUUAUGCAUAAUAGUAUCAAGGGAGAUGAAAAUGAUUGAGUCUAAAAUGAAGAAUGAACAAACUCUUUAGACUUCUAAAUCUAGAGAUAUGAUUGGAGAAGUAAGAGCAUUUUGUUGUAGGAAACAUGUAUCGUACAAAUAGAUUUUCAUAGCUCUUGAAGAUCAGAAUGAGUAAUUUGAUUGCAGCAAUAAAUAUUAGACAAGUGAUAAAGAACUUCCUUCAGGUUAGUGCAAAACGCCCCGUAAAGAUAUUUUCACUCGUCAAUUUAGAGUUGAAUCUAUAUAGUAUGCCAAUGUUUGGAAAUUGCUGCAUCAUAAGAUCGAAGCUCAAGGGCUUAAAGCUUGGAGAUCAACUUAAUGGAGAUUGGGAGGAUUACGGUGUCCGAACAUGUAUAUUUUUAAAGUGUUGGUGGCAACGGAGAGAAGAAAGAGAUGACGUGAUAAGGGAGGGAGAUAGGAAAAGAACUUCUGAAGUGCAAGAUUGUUUCUUAAAGUUUUCUCCUUUUCCCUAACACAGGUCUUAUCCUUCUUAUAUUGGAGUAGCUCAUUUAAAGAUGCUACUGUUCUAGAAAUUCCAUUCAUUUACAGCAUAAAUGUGUGCUGCUAAAUUCAUAUUGUAUGAAUAUAUUUGUGAUUGUAAUUUGGAGUAUGAGCGAGAGCUCGACAUGCAAAACGCAGACAAGUUCUAUUUUUAAAAAAAUGUGAGAAUCUAAAAAUUAUUUUUUGGUUCCA